rnacentral:tRNA from 1 species
GUUAUCUUAAUUUAAGUAGAAUAUCCGCUUUGCAUGCGGAUCGUGGAGUAGAAACUUCAGAUAACA